GUCACAGCCCAGGGGACUGAAAUCCUCUUUAUCCAGAGAAUGGGUACAGCAUGGGAAGCAGCAAUGCAAGCUCUCCUAUACUGCCCCACCAACAAGCUGACUUUGAAGGACAAGACGGUUCAGGACUCCAUAGCUAUUCAAUCCUUGAUCUCU
ensembl:misc_RNA